GACGAACGCUGGCGGCGUGCCUAAUACAUGCAAGUUGAGCGCUGAAGGUUGGUACUUGUACCGACUGGAUGAGCAGCGAACGGGUGAGUAACGCGUGGGGAAUCUGCCUUUGAGCGGGGGACAACAUUUGGAAACGAAUGCUAAUACCGCAUAAAAACUUUAAACACAAGUUUUAAGUUUGAAAGAUGCAAUUGCAUCACUCAAAGAUGAUCCCGCGUUGUAUUAGCUAGUUGGUGAGGUAAAGGCUCACCAAGGCGAUGACACAUAGCCGACCUGAGAGGGUGAUCGGCCACAUUGGGACUGAGACACGGCCCAAACUCCUACGGGAGGCAGCAGUAGGGAAUCUUCGGCAAUGGACGAAAGUCUGACCGAGCAACGCCGCGUGAGUGAAGAAGGGUUUCGGAUCGUAAAACUCUGUUGGUAGAGAAGAACGUUGGUGAGAGUGGAAAGCUCAUCAAGUGACGGUAACUACCCAGAAAGGGACGGCUAACUACGUG
rnacentral:rRNA from 1 species